GCCAGCACGAUUCCAACUCUCGCUGCAGAUAUUCGAUCUCAUCCACCAGAUCCCUCAUUGGGUUCGUGAUGGACCUCUUUGGGAGCACCAUCAGCUUCCUCAACUCUCUGGCCUUUUGGCCCAAGCUCGCCAAAUGCGCCAUUGCCCUCUCCUUCGGGUCUGCUUGCUCCUCUUAAGGGCGCUGCAGCGUUGGAGGAGAGGAUCUUGCGCGCUCCUCCACUGCUACCGCCGGCUGGUUUGGCGAUCGCGCCAGAGCAUUUUUCCGGCGAAAGGGAUUCUCCUCAUCCCAGGCGAAUGAGCUUGUCAGCGGAGUGCUGCAAGCCGCAGCUUGUUCCGCUGAUCGCUCAUCUCCGAUCUGGCCGUUGAUCUGGCAACUCCGGUUGCUGUGGCCGCGCCCUCUUUUGGCUAAGUCGUUUUCCAGCACUUAGCUCCGUGCCUCCAGUCAGCUGUUCUUCCGUCGUUAUCCAACACCACUUGCGGUGUGCUUGGCCAAUUUUGCCCAAAAACAAAAAGAAGGCAGCAACCAACAAAUGGCGCAAAGAAUCACAGCGAAGAAGAAUAGGAAAACAGGCACUUACCUGCUGUUCCUUCCCCCCCCUUCGGCCUAGGGCUCGACGGCGUUCCACUGGGAUUUCGGCCUGUACUAUUGGCCAGGUGGCCGCUUCUCUGCUUGCGGACUUGCGUUCCGCGCAGGCUAACUUCCGACGGUUUCCACUGAAUUAUACGGAACGAUUUAAAAACACGACCGCACUCACUAGAAUACAAGUUAACGAGUGCCCCUCGCACAUUGUUGUGUAACAUAAACAACCGCAAAUGUUAGCCAACAGUUGCACUCAAGAUGCCAAAUCAGCGAACUUCAGUUCAGCGCCCUGAAUGUGACGGUCAACCGGCGGUAAUCUGAUAUCUUGCACAUGCCGCAAGAUCAGCAUUAUCGCUUAUGCCAAGUCGGCUUACCGACUGUAGCUUUGUAGCUCUAAGUACAUAUAUUUUGUAGCUUUGCAUUCUUUGGCAAUUAAAUACUUUUGAUUCAGCUUAUGCCCCAGCUUGCUGGUGGCUCCUAGUUUUAGUUCUGUUCUUAUGACGAAAGCUAACGCUUGUUAAUAAACCUUGCUCCGGCAACCAGCCGUAAACACUUUGAAUUAUUAAUUCUAUACCACUGUACCACAAGGCCAGUGAUAAGAGAGACAGUUAUCUC